rnacentral:lncRNA from 1 species
CUGAGCUCAGCCCCUAGGCGACUUAAUGGGCUUUUAAAAAACCCCUUUGUAUUGGAUCCAUUCUUCUUCCCAAAGCUUGCUGGCCCCGCUCCAAGGGGAAACCUUUGAUUCUACAAAUACACCACAAUUAUCAUCCCGAGGAGUCUCAGCUAUCAGGCUCCCCGCCUCCAAAAGAUCAGCAGGAUGCCAGAGAGGUCCGUGUGCUGCUCGGGCUGCUCUCGCCAGCAUUUCCACCACCCAGCACUGGGAAGCUCGACUUGGUGUGGGGGAGAUGGAAACCGAAAUCUUGCCAAGCACUGCAUCCACUCCCUGACUUAUCCCUUGCUCACGACUCCCCUAAGCUCUCCUCCAGGUAAUACAAAUCCUGCCCUUCUGCAAUGCUCUCCAGUCCAGUGCUGGGGUUUUUGAAGGGAUUGUGUGCUCCACUUCCAGCAGGAGUCCAGCACUUCUCUCCUUGCAGAAAUCCCCUUUUAAAGCACGUCAUCAGUACUCUUCUGCAGCUGUUUUUCUUAGUAGUCUAAAUAAAGCUUUCAAGUUACGACUCCUUGAUGUGAAG